rnacentral:rRNA from 1 species
AUACAUUAGCAUGGGAUAAUGGAAUAGGACCCUGUCCUCCUAUUUUCAGUUGGUUUUGGCAGCGCGAGGACUAGGGUAAUGAUUAAUAGGGAUAGUUGGGGGCAUUAAUAUUUAAUUGUCAGAGGUGAAAUUCUUGGAUUUAUGAAAGAUUAACUUCUGCGAAAGCAUCUGCCAAGGAUGUUUUCAUUAAUCAAGAACGAAAGUUAGGGGAUCGAAGACGAUCAGAUACCGUCGUAGUCUUAACCAUAAACGAUGCCGACCAGCGAUUAGGAGACGUUGAAUACAAAACACCACCAUCGGCGCGGUCGUCCUUGGCGUUCGUGUUCAC